rnacentral:tRNA from 1 species
AAUGAGGUAAGCUAACCUAAGCUAGUGGGCUCAUAACCCAAAAAUGAUAAUCUCUCUCAUUG